GAUGAAAACGUAGCGAAAUGCGAUAAGUAAUGUGAAUUGCAGAAUUCAGUGAAUCAUCGAAUCUUUGAACGCACAUUGCGCCCCCUGGUAUUCCGGGGGGCAUGCCUGUUCGAGCGUCAUUUCACCACUCAAGCCUCGCUUGGUAUUGGGCAACGCGGUCCGCCGCGUGCCUCAAAUCGACCGGCUGGGUCUUCUGUCCCCUAAGCGUUGUGGAAACUAUUCGCUAAAGGGUGCUCGGGAGGCUACGCCGUAAAACAAACCCAUUUCUAAGGUUGACCUCGGAUCAGGUAGGGAUACCCGCUGAACUUAAGCAUAUCAAUAAGGGAGGA
rnacentral:misc_RNA from 1 species